UACGAGGGGGGCAAGCGUUGUUCGGAAUUAUUGGGCGUAAAGGGCGCGUAGGCGGCGCGGUAUGUCUCUUGUGAAAUCUCCAGGCUCAACUUGGAGUCUGCAAGGGAAACUGCCGUGCUUGAGUACUGGAGAGGUGAGUGGAAUUCCCGGUGUAGCGGUGAAAUGCGCAGAUAUCAGGAGGAACACCGGUGGCGAAGGCGGGUCUCUGGGCCGAUACUGACACUGAGGAGCGAAAGCGUGGGGAGCGAACAGG
rnacentral:rRNA from 1 species